rnacentral:rRNA from 1 species
AGUGAACGCUGGCGGUAGGCCUAACACAUGCAAGUCGAACGGCAGCACAGUAAGAGCUUGCUCUUACGGGUGGCGAGUGGCGGGCGGGUGAGGAAUACAUCCGAAUCUACUUUUUCGUGGGUGAUAACGUAGGGAAACUUACGCUAAUACCGCAUACGACCUACGGGUGAAAGCAGGGGAUCUUCGGACCUUGCGCGAUUGAAUGAGCCGAUGUCGGAUUAGCUAGUUGGCGGGGUAAGGGCCCACCAAGGCGACGAUCCGUAGCUGGUCUGAGAGGAUGAUCAGCCACACUGGAACUGAGACACGGUCCAGACUCCUACGGGAGGCAGCAGUGGGGAAUAUUGGACAAUGGGCGCAAGCCUGAUCCAGCCAUACCGCGUGUGUGAAGAAGGCCUUCGGGUUGUAAAGCCCUUUUGUUGGGAAAGAAAAGCAGCAGGUUAAUACCCCGCUGUUCUGACGGUACCCAAAGAAUAAGCACCGGCUAACUUCGUG